UACGAAGGGGCUAGCGUUGCUCGGAAUCACUGGGCGUAAAAGGGUGCGUAGGCGGGUCUUUAAGUCAGGGUGAAAUCCUGGAGCUCAACUCCAGAACUGCCUUUGAUACUGAGGAUCUUGAGUUCGGGAGAGGUGAGUGGAACUGCGAGUGUAGAGGUGAAAUUCGUAGAUAUUGCAAGAACACCAGUGGCGAAGGCGGCUCACUGGCCCGAUACUGACGCUGAGGCACGAAAGCGUGGGGAG
rnacentral:rRNA from 1 species